GAUCCUGGCUUAGGAUGAACGCUGGCGGCGUGCCUAAUACAUGCAAGUCGAACGAGGUAGCAAUACCGAGUGGCGAACGGGUGAGUAACACGUAGGUAACCUGCCCUUAAGCUUGGGAUACCCAGAGGAAACUUGGCUAAUACCGGAUAACAACAGAGAAGGCAUCUUCUUUGCUUGAAAGGCCCCUUCAAGGGUCACUUAAGGAUGGACCUGCGGCGCAUUAGCUAGUUGGUGAGAUAACAGCCCACCAAGGCGAGGAUGCGUAGCCGAACUGAGAGGUUGAUCGGCCACAUUGGAACUGAGACACGGUCCAAACUCCUACGGGAGGCAGCAGUAAGGAGUUUUCGGCAAUGGGGGAAACCCUGACCGAGCAACGCCGCGUGAGCGAUGACGGCCCUAUGGGUUUGUAAAGCUCUGUUGUAAGCCAUGAAUGAUAGCUUGAGGAAAUGCAAGCUAUUUGACGACAGCUUACCAGAAAGCCACGGCUAACUACGUGCCAGCCGCCGC
rnacentral:rRNA from 1 species